UUUUCUUCGUAAUCUUCGGUUUUUCAAAAGACCUUCCUUUCUCUCCAAUCAGGUCCUUAAUGUCACCACUGCCCUCCCCGUCCUGAUCAUCAGAAUCGGAAUAAUCCGCCUCAUCCUCACUAUCAUCAUUAUCAUCAUCAUUAUCAUUAUCAUUAUUAUCUUCCCGAUCACUCCCCACCCGUUUCUCCUUCAUACCGCUAAUCUUAAUGGGGCCUCUUUGUGCGACUACUGCUAUAGUGACCCAUUCAUCGUCGGCUGGAACGUCGUAUGACGUUCCAUCGCGAGAAAGGCGAACGACGGAAUAUAAUUUUGACGGAGACGGAUGUUUGAGUUUGGUUCCACGCCGAGCCACUCAUCUUCGCCCUCAGGAUCCGGUCCAAACUGUUUCGGUCCUAGCUCUAGUUCCUCAAUUAAUGUGCUAUCUUCUUCAUCUCUCCUAAUCACCGGCUUCUUAUCUUCCACCUCUAGCGAAGAGCUCCGAGAUCGCUCACAAUUUAACUUGUCAGGACGACACGACGAAGGUUUUGAGCUUAGAUGUGAACUAUUGCUCACAGACGCUGAGAAAGAGGCUGAAGUUUGUCGGGAAGAUUUUACAUAAUUUGGACGCUGCUUGAGAGCGGCCAUCUUGGCUGCCAUGGUAGACGGUACGAUAGGUAAUGGCGGUAGCUCUUGCGCCGGCUUUCGCUCAUGCGGGAGAAGAGAUGAGGCGGAGACGAAUUUGGGUUGAGAAGGUGCUUGAAAAAGAGAAUCAGACUGCUUUUGUUCUGUGAUCAUAUGUCAGUCACUUUAGAUAGCGGGACG
rnacentral:sRNA from 1 species